rnacentral:rRNA from 1 species
UGGCCCUACCACCCUGACUGUGCCCAAUCUUAUCUAAUCACAGAAGCUAGGCAGCAUUGGACUUGGUUAGAACUUGAGUGGGACACCACCUGGGAAGACAAAGAAGAUUUUCCAU